UGACAUAGCGGUUAUAUGUUCGGCUGCUAACCGAAAGGUUGGUGGUUCAAGCCCACC
rnacentral:tRNA from 1 species